GCCCAGCUGGCCUAAUGGUAAGGCAUUGGACUUCUAAUCCAAGGAUUGUGGGUUCGAGUCCCACGUUGGGUG